rnacentral:ncRNA from 1 species
UCUCUAAUUAAAACAAGGCAUUGCGAUGGCCCUAACGAAUGUUGACACAAUGUGAUUUCUGCCCAGUGCUCUGAAUGUCAAAGUGAAGAAAUUUAAGUAAGCGCGGAUAAACGGCGGAAGUACCUAUGAGUAUCUCCCCUAGUAACUAUGACAAACACCCAUGUAGCGAUU